rnacentral:rRNA from 1 species
GAUGAACGCACAAGACGUGCCUAACACAUGCAAAUCGAAUGAAAACAAUAAUUAAUUAUUGUUUUCAUGGUGAACGGGUGAGUAAUACAUAAGAAUCAGCUUUUAGAUAAGGCAUAAAAGAGUAAUAUCUUGGUAAUUCCUUAUAUGCGCAGUAGUGCUUAAAAAGGGGAUUCCCGUCUAAAAACGAGCUUAUGUCUGAUUAGCUAGUUGGCGAGUUAAAAGCUCACCAAGGCGAAGAUCAGUAGCUGGCCUGAGAGGGCGGCCAGCCACAUUGGGACUG